GUGAUUCAUUGAUCAAUGCAUAGAUAUUAAAUAGUAGCAUCCUAAAUAACUUUAUAUAAAAAAAACUGAAUUUAAUGCCAAAAUUGAUAUUGAUUUUACAGGAUGUGGCUGACCUUUAUUAAUCGGAUCACUUACUGUAGCUAAUGAACCUCUAGAUAGAUAAUUAGAAUUUGUCUGUUUCUUUUUCUGUCUGUCUGUCUGUCUGUCUGUCUGUCUGUCUAUCUAUCUAUCUAUCUAUCUAUCUAUCUAUCUAUCUAUCUAUCUAUCUAUCUAUCUAUCUAUCUAUCUGCCUGCCUGCCUGCCGCCUGCCUGCCUGCCUGCCUGCCUGCCUGCCUGUCUAGCAUCUAUAUUUAAUGUAUUAUAUUUUGAUAAAAACUGUCAAACAGUUUCUGAACCUUUCAGGUUAUUAAGGGUCUCGGAAAAAUAAUUUACUGACUCUCCAUUACUUCAACAUGUAACAAUUCACUAAAAACUCAAGCACGUUUUCCUUUGGAGAGCAACUUGUGUGUACAGCAGAUUGUAGACAAGGGCGCUGGAACAGAUGUUCAUGAAAAGCCGAUUGUAUUCCUUCUGAUGGUUGGACGGCUGAAGUGGAGGUAGGCAGUGGAACAGAUGAAAGAGAAGCAGGAGAAUAAGAGUGUAUAACUCGCUCUCAUUGCCUGCAGUGAGGCAGAGGCUGGAGAGACAUGCAGAUGGGCGCAUCCUCAGGUAAUCCACCCGUUUAUGAGGAGAUUGAUGGAUCUGAGGCAAACGCAACUGACGCAAAGCUCACAUCUAUCUUGGUUUAAGGAUGUGGUCCGCCGAAAGGCUGGGAGGAGGAAUUACACGCAAAAGCACUAUGGCCCCUCAUAAAUCACUGCCACCCAGAGAAAGUGUCACAUUCCAGCGCUUGGUGGGAAUUGGGAAGAGGAAACAGGAAGGAGAGCCGAUGACAACAUCUGGUUGUGAUUUCAGAGAUGCGGGCAUGCUUGGGACUUUUCCAGACCAAAGUAAUCAUAUUUUUGUCAGCACGGCUAUCUCUUACCUGCUGCAGAGUGUGAAUGAAUAAUUGAAAUCCUGACCUUGCAGCAGAAGCUGUCACAAAGGUCCAUCUACUGUAGUAACCUGAACAUAGCCACCUGAUACAAAAGGCAAGUUACUUCUCCAGCCAAGAGAAAAGCAGAAACAAGCUGCCGAGAGAGUGAACCCACAGGAGAUGUGUUUUGUGGCAUGGUAUGCCAAGAAAGCUUAAAUAAACAUCCGUUGACACUCUGCA
ensembl:lncRNA